GACGAACGCUGGCGGCGUGCUUAACACAUGCAAGUCGAACGGAAAGGCCCUGCUUUUGUGGGGUGCUCGAGUGGCGAGCGGGUGAGUAACACGUGAGUAACCUGCCCUUGACUUUGGGAUAACUUCAGGAAACUGGGGCUAAUACCGGAUAGGAGCUCCUGCUGCAUGGUGGGGGUUGGAAAGUUUCGGCGGUUGGGGAUGGACUCGCGGCUUAUCAGCUUGUUGGUGGGGUAGUGGCUUACCAAGGCUUUGACGGGUAGCCGGCCUGAGAGGGUGACCGGCCACAUUGGGACUGAGAUACGGCCCAGACUCCUACGGGAGGCAGCAGUGGGGAAUAUUGCACAAUGGGCGGAAGCCUGAUGCAGCAACGCCGUGUGCGGGAUGACGGCCUUCGGGUUGUAAACCGCUUUCGCCUGUGACGAAGCGUGAGUGACGGUAAUGGGUAAAGAAGCACCGGCUAACUACGUG
rnacentral:rRNA from 1 species